UACGUAGGGACCGAGCGUUGUCCGGAAUCAUUGGGCGUAAAGAGCGUGUAGGCGGCCAUUUAAGUCCUGCGUGAAAUCCUGCGGCUCAACCGCAGGCGGUCGUGGGAAACUGGAUGGCUAGAGUGCGGGAGAGGAGAGUGGAAUUCCUGGUGUAGCGGUGGAAUGCGCAGAUAUCAGGAGGAACACCAACGGCGAAGGCAGCUCGCUGGGACGGUACUGACGCUGAGGCGCGAAAGCGUGGGGAGCGAACAGG
rnacentral:rRNA from 1 species